rnacentral:rRNA from 1 species
UACGUAGGUGACCAGCGUUGUCCGGAUUUAUUGGGCGUAAAGAGCGUGUAGGCGGCUUUACAGGUCCGUUGUGAAAACUCGAGGCUCAACCUCGAGACGCCGGUGGAAACCGUAAGGCUAGAGUCCGGAAGAGGAGAGUGGAAUUCCUGGUGUAGCGGUGAAAUGCGCAGAUAUCAGGAGGAACACCGGUGGCGAAGGCGGGUCUCUGGGCCGAUACUGACGCUGAGGAGCGAAAGCGUGGGGAGCGAACAGG